CUAGGGAUUUUCCAAACGAAUCUAACUCUCGACUCUCCCCCAACUUCAAAGUACACACUGUGCACUCAGGAACCCCGGUGCCUUAAAAAUGUAAGAACUCCAAAGAAAAUGAAUUAACAAACGCUGCUGAUUGUAACAACAUCAGCACAUUCAACUGACACACCUCCAAGGCAUUAAAAAAUAUCCGCAAAGGUAGAAGCAAUAUAACGACCGAAGCUCUCGGUUCGUUUGCUCAACUGGAGAACCUGUGAGGGAGCACCCAAUAGCUGAAGACGCUGUUCCCACUGCAUUUUAAAUACAUAGAACAGCAUUCCAAGUUUAGGAAAUUCAACAAUCGACUGCUUUAUUUCCUUCUCCACGAAUUGAAGGCCGGUUUGGAGAUGGUCCUUCCCAAUAGCCCCCAACACCCAUAGAUGGUGAAGGAUUUUUGUGGGGCUGCCACUCAAUCCGCUGUCAUGCCAUAGAUCGACGACUGCCUGCGACAAAGAAGGUAUAAAUUUGUGGUAAAUGAAGUUGACUGUGAGCAAUCUAUGAUACGAAGAAAAAGUAAAUCAAAUUAUCCACUCACUCGAACAAAAUCACACCAUAAUAUACCCAGACUGGCUUCUGGAAAUAUGGCACCAACGGCGUUCCGCAAUGCUUCAUCCACACUUGUCAUCACCGUCUUCACGCUUAACAGGGCAGGUGCCAGAGUCACAAUCUUUCGAAGAACUUGUUUAUAAAGCUCCUCUGAGGGACCUUUUAGAUAUGCGAUGAAACAGCCGUAUGUCUGCCAACAGUUAAUUUAAUGGAACACGUUAUUAAUUAGCGCUGUAAGAACUGCCAAUUGUAAUUAAACUUUACUAAUAUUUACCGAGGAUAA